AAAUUUAAAAUUAUAAUGAAAUAGUAAUAAUUAACUAAUUACUAAAGACCGUAAGACUAAACCAACAUAAGAACUAUUAAGAUGAUAAGAAUAUAAGAUUAUCAAUCCAUGUGCUAGGUCAUCAAUCCAUGUGCUAGGUUAUUCUAUUUUUCUAUUGGCUAAAAAAUGAUAUCAUGGAUCAUGAAUUAGAACCAUUGAUAUGAGAAGGAUUAAAAUCUAACCAUUAAUUGUGUAUUGAAAUAUAAAAGAGGGGAAAAAAGGGAUCUAAUCUCAUCCGUUGAUGAUUUCGAUCAAACGAAUGAGAUUGAAUUUAAAAAACCCUAACAUUCUUAGGUAUAAAAGAAGCACCCACAUUUUUCAUCGAUCUCCCAUCUGGCCAUCUCCCUCGACGGCACAACCGUCCUCUCCUUCCUCUAUCUACUUUCUCAGAUCCUCUCUCACAGCCACCAUUUUUAUGUAUUUUGCCACAUACGUGGGUUCAGUCCUCCAAGACCGGUUAUAGCUCAUCAACAACCGUCGUCAACAACCGCACGCCAACCUCUCCUUCCUCUAUCUCUAUCACAUUAGGAUCAGGCCUAAGAAGUAAUGAUGCUGAUCUGUCAAAACUGAGCGGAGUGAUAAAACUAGAGUAUAGAAUUGCUUUAAGAUCUUCACUUAGAGAAGAUUUCACUGAAGGUGUCCGUGUUGUCUUGGUUGACAAGGAUCAGGAGGACGUGAAAAUGGAAUAUGGUAGGAGGACGAAUCGACGGAAGGAAUCGGAAACGAAGAGUUGAUUUCAGAGGAAGGAGAUGUGGAGUUGAUGAGAUGAGAAUGUCGAAAGAUUUUUAGCGUUUAUUUUUAAUUUAGUUUAUUAAAAUUCUGAAUUAUUCAGCGUUUAAUUGUAAUUUUAAUAAACUCUAACUAAAUUUUGUCUAUUUUUUCUUUGAGGGGAAAUUUUGUCUAUUUUUAAUUUAGUUUGUUCAUCGUUGUAAAUUAUUUCUUAAUUUAGCUUGUUAAUAUAUUUUUUUUAGAUUUUUAA